rnacentral:rRNA from 1 species
GAGCCCGCGUACCAUUAGCUAGUUGGUGGGGUAAUGGCCCACCAAGGCCAUGAUGGUUAGCUGGUCUGAGAGGAUGGCCAGCCACACUGGAACUGAGAUACGGUCCAGACUCCUACGGGAGGCAGCAGUGAGGAAUCUUGCGCAAUGGGGGCAACCCUGACGCAGCAACGCCGCGUGAGUGAUGAAGGCCUUCGGGUCGUAAAGCUCUGUCAGAUGGGAAGUGACGGUACCGUCAAAGGAAGCACCGGCUAACUCCGUGCCAGCAGCCGCGGUAAUACGGAGGGUGCAAGCGUUGUUCGGAAUCAUUGGGCGUAAAGAGCGUGUAGGCGGUCGGGCAAGUCAGAUGUGAAAUCCCUUGGCUUAACCAAGGAAGUGCAUUUGAAACUGGCCGGCUUGAGUACGGGAGGGGGAAGUGGAAUUCCCGGUGUAGAGGUGAAAUUGUAGAU